rnacentral:lncRNA from 1 species
UCAGGGAACAGAGGAUGAACUUUCACCAUGGAUUAAAUGCUAAAACUUUUCUUUUCAAAAUAUGGUAGUAAAUGAUGAAAACGUGCAUGCACAGCAGACUUCUGGAGGCAAAAUGUCAUCGGAGGCAUCUGUGGCUCCAGGAAAGAGACCCAGUCUGACAGAUCCACCUUUUACCAAGGGACAGCACUGAAAUCACCCAGUCCCGGCAAUGAAAACAGCAAGCAACUAUGGAAUGGAGAGAGGCUCAGGAGUAAAAAGCUGGUUAGAGGAGAAGGAACUUCUCUACUGAUGGAAAGUUCCCUGGGGAUGGAGGAGAGAAAUUAACCCAAUCUGGCUACUUCCCCUUAGCGAGUCAACAUAGCAGAGAUCCAGCCUCACAUCCCUAGUGCUCCAACGGAACACUGUCAUUGAAACCACUCACCCCUCCAAAAAAAAAGUCUAAAUAAGAGAAAACAUGCAGUUAUAGAUGAGAGAAUAAGCAAAUAGGGAGGGGAGGGCUGAUACAAGACUUUUUGUGUCAGGAUAGAAAGACAAAUAGCAAAAAGAACAAGAGAGAACGCCUCGAUGAAAUCUCAGACAUAAGCAGAUAAACUGACAGGGACACUUAAAGAAAGAAAGGAAUAUGAACAAAGAAUCUAGAAAAGGGAUACAGCACAAUAAAUCAGUACUACAUAAUAAGGAAACCCCCA